GAGGGUGUAGCUCAGUGGUAGAACGCGUGCUUAGCAUGCGCGAGGUCCUGGGUUCAGUUCCCGGUACCUCCA
rnacentral:tRNA from 1 species